rnacentral:rRNA from 1 species
AGGCAGCAGUGAGGAAUAUUGGUCAAUGGGCGGGAGCCUGAACCAGCCAAGCCGCGUGAGGGAAUAAGGCCCUACGGGUCGUAAACCUCUUUUGUCGGGGAACAAAAGCGGGGACGCGUCCCCGUCUGCGUGUACCCGAAGAAAAAGCAUCGGCUAACUCCGUGCC